rnacentral:rRNA from 1 species
UGAGGAAUAUUGGGCAAUGCCCGCAAGGGUGACCCAGCAACGCCGCGUGGAGGAUGAAUGUCGUAAGAUUGUAAACUCCUGUUAGAGGGGAAGAAUAGUACCGGUUGGACCGGUAUAUGACUGUACCCUCAGAGAAAGCCCCGGCUAACUACGUGCCAGCAGCCGCGGUAAUACGUAGGGGGCAAGCGUUGUCCGGAUUUACUGGGUGUAAAGGGCGCGCAGGCGGGAUAAAAAGUCAGUGGUGAAAUCCUACAGCUUAACUGUAGAACUGCCUUUGAUACCUUCAUUCUUGAGGUCGGAAGAGAGAGACGGAAUUCCAGGUGUAGUGGUGAAAUACGUAGAUAUCUGGAAGAACACCAGUUGCGAAGGCGGUCUCUUGGUCCGACACUGACGCUGAGGCGCGAAAGCG